GAUUUCAACUGAAAAAGUCAUCAACAACAAAGUUGUAUAACUCAUCAAUAUAUAUAACUUCUAUUUUAGUCAUUUCUUCAUCCGAUAAAGUUAUUUAUAAGAUUGUUCACAAAAUGUACAUAUCUCUUAUAGUUUUAUAAACUAUAUAUAUAAGAGAUAUAUAUAUUUUGUGAACAAUCUUACAAAUUACUUUGUCGGAUGAAGAAAUGACCAAAAUAAAAGUUAUAGAUCUUGAUGAUUUAUACAACUUUGUUGUUGAUGACUUUUUCAGCUGAAAUC
rnacentral:pre_miRNA from 1 species